UAACAUUAUGUAAAGGCAUACAUCUUUAAAAAGUUUAUAGUCAGUUAAAAAGCUUAUUCAGACAUAUGUAUGUCUUGUCACCUUAAUAUAAUUACCUUAUCUUAUCUAAUCUUGGAAGAUUAUGGAUGGUAGCUGCCAUGUAGCCAUGCCUCUGUUAUAUGUAUAAAAUUGCUCAAUAUAUACACUAACCAAAAAAGAAAAUGAAUCUUUACUACCUUUAAUAUGACAUUUUAGGUGUCGCUCCCAGUAAAAAAAACGAAAACUUUGACUCAAGUACAGGCGGAUAUGACACUUUUUGUAGUUAUUUGUAAACGUUUGUAAACCAUAUAUAAGGGCGCUGCAGUUACUUACUUAUUAUUUCAAAGGACGCAUCAGUGAUUCUUUAUUUGUUACAAAUAAACUCACUUACGUGAAACAGUUAAAGGAUUGGAAAAACAAGGAUGAAGAUCAGCAUUUUGAUUUCGUUUGUUAUUCUAUCCGCCAUGUUGAUGACGUCUGAAGGGCAACAAAGAAAAUCGUCUGGAAUGGUCAAAUGCAGGGUGGAGUGUAUGGAAGAAUACAACGUGUGCGCCGGACCCUGUAAAAGAGGACCUUUACACAUGCCUAACGUUUGCAAUGGAAUACCGUGCCGAGAUUUACUUCAGGACUGCUAUGCUACUAGAUGUAAUUUCAAUGAACAAUAAACUUGGCUAAAAUCAAAACAUUUGGAUGUUUCAUAAAUUUGAAAUUAAUCAUGUCUGUUUCUGUUGUAAAUGCAUCUAGUUAGAGUUCCGUUUCAAGAUGACUUAAUCAAUUUCAGUUGUUUAAAAGAUUAGGAUAAAAUGGAAAAUCAUGUAUAUGGUAUUGAAAGAAGUGACAAAGCAACUUAGCUUUUACUUUCAUUCUUAACUUCUUUUCAUUAAGAUGAUCUUAUGCACCUUGGAUAUAUUAAAAUUAGUUAAACAAUUA